rnacentral:rRNA from 1 species
GACGAACGCUGGCGGCGUGCUUAACACAUGCAAGUCGAACGGAAAGGCCCUGCUUUUGUGGGGUGCCCGAGUGGCGAACGGGUGAGUAACACGUGAGUAACCUGCCCUUGACUUUGGGAUAACUUCAGGAAACUGGGGCUACUACCGGAUAGGAGCUCCUGCUGCAUGGUGGGGGUUGGAAAGUUUCGGCGGUUGGGGAUGGACUCGCGGCUUAUCAGCUUGUUGGUGGGGUAGUGGCUUACCAAGGCUUUGACGGGUAGCCGGCCUGAGAGGGUGACCGGCCACAUUGGGACUGAGAUACGGCCCAGACUCCUACGGGAGGCAGCAGUGGGGAAUAUUGCACAAUGGGCGGAAGCCUGAUGCAGCAACGCCGCGUGCGGGAUGACGGCCUUCGGGUUGUAAACCGCUUUCGCCUGUGACGAAGCGUGAGUGACGGUAAUGGGUAAAGAAGCACCGGCUAACUACGUG